AGCAUUUUUGUUAACAGAGGAUCAACAAAAAUGGCAAAGAAAAGCACACCGUGGUCCGCCGAGGAAGUUACGACGUUCCUACACUUUAUUGCAGAUGACAAGAUCCAGCGGGAGCUCGACGGGACAACUCGCAAUAUGAAAGUAUUUCAGGAGGUCUCUACACUGAUGUGCGGAAGCGGUUACUCGAGGACUGUCUUGCAGUGUAGGGAACAACUGAAAAAGAUGAAGAGUGAGUAUCUCGUAGUGAAGGACAACAACAACAACACGAGUGGUGCCCGUAGGAAAAACUGGAAGUGGUUUGACCUAAUGGACACCAUUAACGGCCAUAGACCGGCUAGCGUUGGGAGGGAGGGAGGUCUGGACUCAGCAAGGGCUUUACUGGAGGCUCUGCAUGAUGAUAACAUUGGGACGAACGAGGAGGAACAGCCCUCAGCUUCAACGUCCUCUGCAUCAACAUGACAACAGCUCGAACAACAAACCCCAACAAGAGCACAGACACCAACGCCUAGCAAGAGGAAACGAGGAGGAGAGGAUCUGGCCCAGCAGGAACGGCACCUGGUCCAGCAGAAGGAAGCCCAGCAGGAUCAGCACUUGAACCGGACCUUGGGGGAGGCGAGGGAGUUGGAAGCAGCCUUGAGAAGGGAGGAGAUCGCUCAAGCAGAGACCUUUUUAAUUUAGCCUUCCUCCGCACUCUUGGCCAGGUGCUAGGGGGAAUGGGCAGCUGACGUGCCCUGUCUCCUCCGCCUCUGUGAUACAACAAAUAACCUCUGACUGAGAUUAUAUUGUUUAUUUACAUUUGUACUUUUUUGUUUAUUUUUUAUCUUUAAAAUGUUUAUUUUUACAAUCAAUACCAUGCCUUUUUAUGUUGCUGCAACAAAACACUACCCAAAUGGGGAUCAAUAAAGUACUUCUUUGACUUA